GAGGAACUCGGCAAAUUGACACCGUAACUUCGGGAGAAGGUGUGCCCUUUGACGUGUAGGACUUCGCGUCUGAAGCGUUGGGGGGUUGCAGAGAAACGGGGGUUGCGACUGUUUACUAAAAACACAGGACUCUGCGAACUCGCAAGAGGACGUAUAGGGUCUGACGCCUGCCCGGUGCUGGAAGGUUAAGGGGAGUUGUCAGCGCAAGCGAAGCAACGAACCGAAGCCCCAGUAAACGGCGGCCGUAACAAUAACGGUCCUAAGGUAGCGAAAUUCCUUGUCGGGUAAGUUCCGACCUGCACGAAUGGCGUAACGACAUCCCCUCUGUCUCGACCAGCGACUCAGCGAAAUUGUAAUCGCGGUGAAGAUACCGUGUACCCGCGGCAAGACGGAAAGACCCCAUGAACCUUUACUGCAACUUGACAGUUAAGCUCGGGACAGACUGCGUAGGAUAGGUGGGAGGCUGUGAAGCCGGGAUUCUGGUCUCGGCAGAGCCAACCUUGAAAUACCACCCUGUUUGUUCUGGGCUUCUAACCCAGGCGUGUAAGCCACGCCGGGGACACCGUCUGGUGGGCAGUUUGACUGGGGCGGUCGCCUCCCAAAAAGUAACGGAGGCGCGCGAAGGUUCCCUCAGGCUGAUUGGAAACCAGCCGUAGAGUGUAAUGGCAUAAGGGAGCUCGACUGUGAGACCGACAGGUCGAGCAGGUGCGAAAGCAGGUCAUAGUGAUCCGGCAGUUCUGUAUGGAAGGGCUGUCGCUCAUCGGACAAAAGGUACUCUGGGGAUAACGGGCUGAUCGCGCCUGAGAGUUCAUAUCGGCGGCGCGGUUUGGCACCUCGAUGUCGGCUCAUCGCAUCCUGGGGCUGGAGCAGGUCCCAAGGGUUUGGCUGUUCGCCAAUUAAAGCGGUACGCGAGCUGGGUUUAGAACGUCGUGAGACAGUUCGGUCCCUAUCUGCCGUGGGCGCAGGAUACUUGAGAGGGUCUAACCAUAGUACGAGAGGACCUGGUUGGACGUACCUCUGGUGAUCCGGUUGUUCCGCCUGGAGCAUCGCCGGGUAGCUAUGUACGGAAUGGAUAACCACUGAAAGCAUCUAAGUGGGAAGCCAGCCUCAAGAUGAGGUAUCCCGGGGCGUUAGCUCCCUGAAGGCCCGUCGAAGACUACGACGUAAUAGGCUGGGUGUGGAAGCGCAGCAAUGUGUGGAGCUAACCAGUACUAAUCGGCCGUGAGGCUUGACC
rnacentral:rRNA from 1 species